ACAGAGAGCCAGGAAUCCGUUUACUGAGCGUUACAAUUAAACGGGCUCUGCGUUUCAGUUGAUUGUUGUCAGAUCUACUUAUUGCUCGACUUGCUAAAUAAGUGCAAAAGCAGCACUGCUUUUCUCUGUGUUUCACAGACCUCACGGACAUUUUAUUUAUCCGUUUGCUUAUUUUGCUCUGGAAAGUAUUUAAUACAAGGACGUAUUCUGUGAGCAGAGAGCGACUUCGACUUCAGUAGACAUGUAUAUAAGAAGAGACGACCAAUUACACGUCAUCUUUACGGUGUUGGUUCUCGCUGCUGCGGUGACAAGCAUACAUGGGCAAGUGUCUUCUCUAGAGAAUGGAAAUGUUGGGGGCCAGAGGAGAAUCGAAGCAGACAGCGGAGCCUUCACACACUCGUCCACACAGGACACAGAGAGUGAGAUCCACCAUUUUACCACAGCAUCCCCCAUGAACGUCCCCAACCACCGACCUGUCUUCAGAGGCUUCGCCCUACAUGAACUCCUGCUCACUAAAGAUUUCCAGGGAGACCAGCGGUUUUUCACAGACCAUGGAGACGUGGAAGGACAUCCCACAAUGCCCGGCUCUGUUACUGCCUUUGAGGGGGGGGAUGCCUCAACUCGCCUGGUGCCACAUGAGGACGCCCCUGCCUUCUCUGACAUCGCAACUACUGCCACGGUGGCUGCCACAACCCCCCUCACCAUCUCUGCUUCCACAGACCCUGGGCUACUGGUGAGCAUGGCUCAGAAUAACCAGUUUGCCAAGGACAAGUCCAGGGAGGCAGAGAAGGUGGCAGUGACCACAGACUCCCUGACCACCCCUGUAGUGGCAACCACUGCCCCUACAGUCAGUGGCCGCAGUCCCAAUGCCCCCCCCUUCCUGAAUGGAAGCGCCUAUGGUCAGGGGGAAGUUAUCAUGGAAGCCACCCUGCCCCCCCCUGUCCUGACCACCUCAGUUAGGGCGGAGAAAGGUGAGUCAGAGGAACCAGGGGUAAAGAACAAAACAGACCCUGGCAUCCAGCUCACCAAACUGACCCCCUUAUCCACAGGAGAGGUGGAUGAGGGAAUGACCACCACAACCAUCAUCACAACCACCACCAUCACCACCAUGCAGACACCAGGUCCCUGCACUGUGAAUUUCACUGACCCCGAGGGCCACAUCAAGAUUCCACAGCAGCAUUCUGCAGCGUUGUCGUCCGACCCUGGAGUGGAUUGCACCUAUGUGGUGACGGUCUACCUGGGAUACGGGAUUGAAGUACAGGUGCUGAACGUGAGCCUGUCUGAGGGGGAGGUGAUGACGGUGGAGGACAUGGGGGGACGGGAGUCCUCCAUCCUUGCCAACGAGACCGUCCUGAUGAGGGGUCUGGUGGUGCGCAGCUGGAGCAAUCAGAUCUCCAUCCGUUACCGCAGUGACCAGCAGCCUCGCUCCGGCUCCCUGCUGCUGCUGCGUUACCAAGCCUUCGUUCUAAGCUGUGCCUUCCCUAAGGAGCCAGCCAAUGGGGAAGUAUCAGUGACUCACCUCCAUGCUGGGGGAGAAGCCUACUUCCAGUGUCUGACCGGAUACCAGCUGCAAGGCCCCACCAUGCUCACCUGUCGCAACGCCACUACACCUUACUGGAGUGGCAAGGAGCCCAAAUGCCUGGCUUCCUGUGGUGGUAUGAUUAAAAAUGCCACGUUGGGCCGUAUUGUCUCUCCUGGAUUCCCUGGCAACUACAGCAACAACUUGACGUGCCAUUGGGUCCUGGAGGCUCCUGAAGGCCACCGGCUUCAUGUUCACUUUGAGAAAAUGGCUUUGGCUGAGGAUGAUGACAGACUCCUUAUUAAGAAUGGGAACAACAUUGACUCCCCUCCGCUGUAUGACUCCUACGAGGUGGAGUACCUGCCCAAUGAGGGCGUGGUGAGCACAGGCCGUCACCUCUUUGUGGAGUUCACCACAGAUGGGACGGUCACCUCUACAGGAGCAGCAAUCAGAUAUGAAGCUUUUGCAAAGGGCACAUGCUAUGGGCCCUUUGUGAAGUAUGGCAACUUCACCAGCAGUGACACGGCCUACGGUGUGGGUGCGGUGGUGGAAUUUGCCUGUGACCCUGGCUACACUCUGGAGCAGGGCUCAGUCAUCAUUGAAUGUCUGGACGCAGAGAACCCCCAGUGGAAUGAGACAGAGCCAGCCUGCAGGGCUGUGUGUAGUGGUGAAAUCACAGACUCAGCCGGGGUGGUUCUCUCUCCAAACUGGCCGGAGACCUACGACAAAGGCCAGGACUGCAUCUGGGGCAUCCACGUGGAAGAGGACAAGAGGAUUAUGCUGGACAUCCAAGUGCUCAAUGUGGGUAAGAAUGACCUGUUGACCUUCUACGAUGGUGAUGACCUAACAGCUAACAUCCUGGGUCAGUACAGUGGCACCAGGUCUCGCUUCAAGCUCUACACCUCUAUGGCUGAUGUCACCAUCCAGUUCCAAUCGGACCCUGCUACUAACAUCUACGGCUAUGGCAACGGCUUCGUGGUCCACUUCUUUGAGGUCCCCAGGAACGAUACAUGCUCUGAGCUGCCAGAGAUCACCAACGGCUGGAAGAGUACCUCCCACCCAGACCUGAUCCACGGGACAGUGGUCACCUACCAGUGUUACCCAGGUUACGAGGUGCAGGGCUCGGAGAUCCUAAUGUGCCAGUGGGACCUGACGUGGAGCGGAGAUGUGCCUAGCUGUGAGAAAGUAAUGACAUGUCCGGACCCGGGGACUGUGGAGCACAGUCGGAGGGUGCUGACGGGAUCCCGCUUCAUGGUGGGAUCAACGGUGCAGUAUGUGUGCAAUAAGGGCUACUCCCUGUCUGGAAGCACACUGCUCACCUGCUACAACAGAGACACAGCUAACCCCAAGUGGAGUGAGAGGCUUCCCAAGUGUAACCCGGAGAGGUACGAGCCCUGCAGGAACCCUGGCGCCCCAUCCACCAGCGUGCAGAGCUUAGAAAAGGCCUUCUACCAGGCCGGGGAGACCCUGAGCUUCACCUGUCGUACCGGCUAUGAGAUGCAGGGGGAGCCCACCAUCCGCUGUGUCCCUGGACACCCGUCACAGUGGAGCGGCACACCACCCACCUGUAGCGCAUCCUCCUCGCAGUAUUUGAACGAGCGCAAGUUGGAUGUUGCUAGUCCUGACUACGGUAUGGAAGGAAGCAACAUUGUCAUUGCUGUUCUGAUUCCUGCUGCGGUUGUACUGCUAGUCAUCCUGGGGAUUUACCUCUACUUUGCAAAACUUCAGGGGAAGACCAUCAGAAUGCCAACAUCAUCCUUGCCGCCGUAUGACAACAUGACAGAGGAGUCUGCCUUUAAUAACCCAAUCUAUGAGACAGGAGUAAGUAUGGAUGUCAUGCACAUGAAUCUCCGAGACGUGGACUCCCAGAACACCAUAGUCCUGUCCUGAUCCAUCUCAUCGUCAUCUGUCUGCCUGUCAUCUCAUGUUUAACCAGCUGAGGGCACUCUUCACACCGUCUCCCACCGCAGACACGGGGGUCUGAGCUGUGCCUCUCAAUUUGUGUUCUUGUGUUGAAUGCAGACAAGCACCUACAAAUUAUCUCUCUCAACUUUGAAGCGUGGAAGCCCUACAGUUUACUUAGCUUUAAAGCUUUAUAAAAAUAUGUGAAUUUUCCGUGGAUCAAUAGGAUUGUACAAGCACUCAAUCAGUAGAUUGGAUUAGGGACAGAUGUAGUGCACUACACAUAUGCGUUUCCAUUUGUGAUGACCUCUGUAGGUUCCAUUUUGAACUUUGCACAGUGCUUCUGUUCGGACUAUGAUUCUGGAUAGAUGUAUGUAAUAUUUUACUGCAUGAAGGUGAAAAAGCUUGAACAAAAAUGAUUAAUGUCAACUUCAAAGACACUUUAAAGCUCCUCCAUCUUUGUGUCAUCAUCAUCAUGUCAUUCACAUGGGAUUGAGUUCAUUGAGUCUUAUCCAUUAAUUAGUUUGAAUUACUUUUGAAAAGUGUACAUUUAUGGGCCCUAUCAGGGGCGCAACUCUGGUUUUAGAAGUGGGGGGGACAUAUUUAUUAUUAUUUUGUAUUAUACGUUUUUUUUAUCCAGUCGGAUAAACACUCCAAACAGCCUACCCGACCACUCAGAGAUGUCCGCAUGGUCCUGAAACACAUUGGUGCAUCGUUUUGUAUCGCAUUCCAAUGAUAAAACUGGGGGGGCCAAAAAUUAUAUUUCAGAAUGUCCCCAGUCCCCGUCCUCAGUGAAAGUUGCACCCCUGGACCCUAUUAUAAAUGAUUGUUUUUGAAUAACAUAGGCUAUAACAAAUGUCAAUGUACAAUAAUAGACUGUAUUUACAUCUACACUUAGUAUUGACGUUACUUUUAUGUGCUGCACACAACAUUUCAGAGCACUUAAAAUAACAACCAAAAUCCUUAGAUUUGACAUUUAGUUUGUCAGGAAUUCUUGUACUUGUCUUACAUAUUCCUUUGUCCAUAAGUCCUUCAUAUCUAUAUAGAUGUGUGUACAAAUAUAUCAGUUACGUGUAUUUGUUAGGUCAUUGAAAUGUAUUUGUUUUAUUUAAUGUGAGUGUUGGAUUUGUUGUGCAAUGUCACAGGCACAUUGUUCAAGCAACAGAAUGCUGCCAUGUCUAUUAUUGUGUUGUGUUAAACUAUUCAUCAUCUCUGUUACAAAUGUUAGUGAUGCAUAAAAUUCUCCUAAACUACAGCAACUUUGUGCUUGAUAAACCAUCUGACUUGAAUCAUGCCCUUGAUUCAAAAUAUUUUCCUAUUAGUCACUCUGCUGUGGGACUUGAGCGGAUGCUGUGUCUUUCUCAUUCUUUACUUUCAUGUGCUGGACUCCAUUUUGACUGGACCAUACUCUCCUCCUCCCGCUCUUCUUCCCAUCAGCCCCGGCAGGCGUUCUGUGAUUACUAAUGACUGUGUCUGUCUGUCCCUCCUUGGCUGCCUGCAGAAGAACAACGAGGGCAAAGGAGAUUAUGAGGUGACCAUUUAAAGACCUUACAGCUGGGAAUUCAGGGGUUUCUUUUUGGGAUCCUCUCUGCACCUCUCAUCUUACCUGCAAUGACUUCAGCUCCUAUUCCUCCCUCCUUCCUCUUUCUCUUAAUUCACUCCUUUUUGUGGGCUUUUGUAAAUAUCUCUUUCCAGAGGACUUCUACCAAAACUGCAAAGAUGGUGGAUCAACAUGGUGUUAUUUUUGUAGACCUUUGACGCAGAUGGCCUUUCUUUAGUGUUUGUACAUUUUCAUUUCAUAACUGAGCCCAGGACUGGUAAUAUUGUGGGGGGGAUACAUUUAGUUCAAAUGGUUUAGGUUUUAAGAUUUACAUAAGAAAUGUGAAGAACAAAUGUACGGUUUAUGCAUUGUCAUGGGUCUUGAAAUAUACAUUAUACAUGAAAAAUACAAAAUUACCCAAAGUUGUUUGAACAUUGUCCAAAUAUCAAUUUUGCUACUAUAAUUCAACCAUCCAGUCUAUAUAUGGGUUUUAAAUAUCACUUUGUAAAUAACCUGCCUGUCUAAUGUGAGGGUGUCUGCGACUUGAGGAAACAAAUUAGUGCUUUGUUCAAUUUGACUCACAGUUUUGUUGAGAGACUUUUUCUGUGGUAAAACAACUAUAAAUGUACACUUCCGGUCAAAAGUUUUAGAACGCCUACUCAUUCAAGGGUUUUUCUUUAUUUUUACUAUUUUCUACAUUGUGCAAUAAUAGUUAAGACAUCAAAACUAUGAAAUAACACAUGGAAUCAUGUAGUAACCAAAAAAGUGGUAAACAAAUCCAAAUAUAUUUUAUAUUUGAGAUUCUUCAAAUAGCCACCCCUUGCCUUGAUGACGGCUUUUGCACACUCUUGGCAUUUCUCUCAACCAGCUUCAUGAGGAAUGCACCCGGAAUGCAUUUCAAUAAACAGGUGUGCCUUCAUAAAAGUUCAUUUGUGGAUUUUCUUUCCUUCUUCAUGCAUUUGAGUCAAUCAGUUGUGUUGUGACAAGGUAGGGGGUAUACAGAAUAUAGCCCUAUUUGGUAAAAGACCGAGUCCAUAUUAUGGCAAGAACAGCUCCAAUAAGCAAAGAGAAAUGACAGUCCAUCAUUACCUUAAGACAUGAAAGUCAGUCAAUACGGAACAUUUCAAGAACUUUGAAAGUUUCUUCAAGUGUAGUCGCUAAAACUAUCAAGCACUAUGAUGAAACUGGCUCUCAUGAGGACCCUCACAGGAAUGGAAGACCCAGAGUUACCUCUGCUGCAGAGGAUAAGUUCAUUAGAGUUUACCAGCCUCAUAAAUUGCAGCCCAAAUAAAUGCUUCACAGAGUUCAAGUAACAGACACAUCCCAACAUCAACUGUUCAGAGGAGACUGUGUGAAUCAGGCCUUCAUGGUCAAAUUGCAUUAAAGAAAUCACUACUAAAGGACACCAAUAAGAAGAAGAGACUUGUUUGGGCCAAGAAACACGAGCAAAAGACAUUAGACCGGUGGAAAAUUGUCCUUUGGUGAGCCUAUAUUUGAGAUGUUUUGUUCCAACCGCUGUCUUUGUGAAAUGCGGUGUGGGUGAACGGAUGAUCUCUGUAUGUGUAUUUCCCACCAUAAAGCAUGGAGGAGGAGGUGUUAUGGUUUGGGGGUGCUUUGCUGGUGACACUGUCUGUGAUGGUUUUAGAAUUCAAGGCACACUUAACCAGCAUGGCUACCACAGCAUUCUGCAGUGAUACUUCAUCCCAUCUGGUUUGGGCUUAGUGGGACUAUCAUUUGUUUUAUACAGGACAAAGACCCAACACACCUCCAGGCUGCGUAAGUGCUAUUUGACCAAGAAGGAGAGUGAUGGAGUGCUGCAUCAGAUGACCUGGCCUCCUCAAUCCCCAGACCUCAAGCAAAUUGAGAUAGUUUGGGAUGAGUGAAUGAAAAGCAGCCAACAAGUGCUCAGCAUAUGUGGGAACUCCUUCAAGACUGUUGGAAAAGCAUUCCAGAUUAAGCUGGUUGAGAGAAUGCCAAGAGUGUGCAAAGCUGUCAUCAGGGCAAAGGAUGGCUACUUUGAAGAAUCUAAAAUCUAAAAUAGAUUUGGAUUUGUUUAACACUUUUUUGGUAACUACGUGGUUCCAUAUGUGUUAUUUCAUUGUUUUGAUGUAUUCACUAUUAGUCUACAAUGUAGAAAAUAGUCAAAAUAAAGAAAAACCCUUGAAUGAGUAGGUGCUCUAAAACGUUUGACCGGUAGUGUGCAUGUAAUGUAUAGCCCACAGUGUUAAGCUCCUCCUCAUGGCUGUUAUAGAAUUGGCGAAUACUCCACUAUCUCCUUGAUUAAACUAAUGUCAAAUCCCAACAGCUUUCUCUUGUCAUGCCAUCUGCAUUGAGAGUAUGCAUCAAUUCAAUGAAGGGAGGCCAUGAAGAUAAUAUGCCAUCUUCUACAAAGUGCUAUUCUGUAAAGUACACCAUCUUCAUGUACAUAGGAAUGCUCAUGGGCUACCCCUUGUUCAUUGCUGUCAUUAGUUUCUGUCUUUCCACACAAGAAAAUGCACUGCUUAAAAGUGCAAUAUGCAGAAAUCGCUCUGCCAUUUCCUGGUUGUUCUAAUUCUAAUAGUUUGCUUAAUUUCAGUUAAUGUGACAAAACAAGUGACCUAAUGUGUAGAGAAACAUUGUACCAUCUAAAACGCUGUGAAAUAUCUGUUCAAUUUUAUUUUCAGCUGUUUGAAGCUGGUGUACAAAGCCGAAAGUAAAAGAUGCGAAAACGAAACGGGAAGCAUAAAAAUAGCGCACAUCUACAGCUUCUUAGACUUGCUUUCAACGAUAAUGACAGAUCUAUCACUCACAUUUCUACGUCAAUUUGGUUGACCCCAAAAAAAUGACCUACUGCAGCUUUAAAGUCUUGAACUCCAACCACAACACUUGCUGGCGUCAAACAGCAUGUCAGAUAUUCAAACCUUGUGUACUUUUCUUCUCUUUGUAAAAUUAACAAUCCAAUCCAGUCCAAUUUGAGUUUGCAAAGAAACAACAGGUUUUAUUUUGAUUGUUUAUCUUUGUUGUUGGCUCUAUAAAUGUUAAAUGUACUCACUUCUUUGGUAUCAUUAUGUACAGUCUCUUUGGUCAUUAAGUGGGGUCCGGAAUGAUUGACACCCUUGAUAAAGAUUAGCAAAAAUGACUGUAUAAAAUAUCUCAUUCAAAUAUUGAGCUGCUGUAUAUUGUAUGCAACAAAAAAGUGGGAAAUUAUAUUAGUUUAUACCAAUACAAUGCUCAGAGAAAGAGAUUUCUUUUUUUUGUUGAAUUCCUCAAAAAGGUAGGGGUAAAAAUGAUUGACUCCCUUGUUUUCAAUACCUUUCAAUACCUAACGGCACUGAGCCUUUUUCUAAAAUGUUUUAUGAGUUGGAGAACACAUUGGGAGGGAUCAUUCCUCCUUACAGAAUCCUUACAGAUCCUAGAUAUCUAUUGCACAGAUGCUCAUGGACUGCCCUUUUCAAAUUUAAACCACAGCUUGUAAUACUAAGAAUCAGAAAUUAGUUAGCAUUUUCCAAUGAAAACUUUGCAAUGGCCAUCUCAGUCUACACUAUGGACUUAAAACCCAUUAAAGGCCUGUGUUUUGUAUUGAAGGGAUAUGUCCAUGAACACAGACAAAGGAUAUCAAGGAUUCGGGAAUCAUUAUGUAUGGAGGAAUGGUCUAAGAUCCUACCCAAUGUGUUUUCCAACUCGUAAAAUACUUGUUUUAAAGGCUGUCGUUAUACUUGCAAGGUGAGGUAUUGAAAACAGGAGUCUUAUUCAUUUUGACUCCUACCUUUUUGAGAUAGAAAAUAUUACAUUACUUGUUAAUAUUUUUGUAUAUAAUUUAGCUUAGUAUUUUAAUCAUUUAUUUUAUACAGUCAUUUUUGCUCAUCUUUAUCAAGGUUCUCAAUAAUUCCGGACCCCACUGUUUAGUACAAAACGAUGAUUGCCCAACAAUUGUAAAUUCAGAGUAAGUUGUAGGGUGGGUGUAUAUUUUAUUACUCAAAAUCUGAAUAAAAAGAACUGCAUUACUGUGAAAUAUUCCCAGAGAGUCAGAUUGUUUAAAAAUUAUUUAGAGAAUUGCAAGAAAUUAAGAACCUUUUCUGACAGAGAACUGUCAUAUCCUGCUGAUUGAUUGCAUUGAUGGUCCAAAAUAAAUGUGAAAUGCACCUUUACAUGAGUGAGUCAGUCAAUUGACUUUGGGUAUGUUAAAAGAGAAGAAUAAUACUAAUAAAGAUGGCAAGAUAUCUAUUUA